UUUGAUUUGUUUUCAAUUACCUUCGAACACUUUCCUGCAGGUAUGAAUUUCAUUGUUUUUGCUCUGUUCGAUUUUAUAGUAAUCAAAAUGUCAUGUUGAUGUGAUUAACAAGUGUCUAAUGUUCAACUCUUCCUUCCAUAUUUAGUUUCUUCCACAAAUUAAACUCUGAGGAUUGUAAUAUAAAUCUAGAAAAGUAAGUUAAUAUCAGCUUUGGAGUGAAUAUUUGGUUACCUUUGUAGAGUUCUGAAUUAUUUAUGAAUGAUUCUCAUGUACCAG